ACGGGCCAUUGGUGGAGGAUGGUGUGAACUUGGGCAACAAUACCUGAAGUUUGACCAGGCUUGUUUUAAUAUCCCUGAUCUGCCCCCCCAGACUCCCGCCCCUCGGGACCCUGUGCCUUGCCAUUUACAAGCUGUAGAAGAUCGGGUUUCUUCUUUUAUUCUUGGUGGAAUGGAGAUGGAUUGCGCUGCUGGAACGGAGUUCAACCAAGCCACAUGCGGUUGUUUAUAGUUAAAAAAUAGACGUUUCACCACGAUCGUCUGCAAAUCAGUGUUUCUGCAGAGUAAUGGAUGAAGAUGCGAGGUUAAAAGUGACUGCUUUGAAUUUUGGAUGAGAUAAAAAUUUCGCGUAAAUGUUAUAUUUGUA